UGAGUAACCUCCCGCAGGUUAAACAUUAUUAGAGCUUGUUUUUCCACAAUCUUAUUUAUUGAUAGCACGCACUUUGGAGUUGACAAAAAAGUCAACCUUAUGAAAAUCGGUUGAGAAAUGAGCAAGUUUCGACUUCGCUUCAAUGUCCAUGCAUUGCUUUUGACAGGAAAAUUGACUUCUCUAACAUGGCCGCCACGUAGGCACGUCGGUUAGCCGGGCUCUACAUCGUGCUAGCCUUACAUGCGUCAUAUCUGGUUGACCAUAAACAACGUCGUUGAACGCACUACGCAUGCGAAGUGAGUAAACAAGAGGACGUGACGUCAGUAGACGCUUCAUUGGGUCUGUUUUCGACGAAGACGCCUUUAUUGAUUUAUUUUUUGUUUAAACCAAAAUAAGCCAAUGAAAUAACAACAGACUAGUUAGUGACUGCAAUUGGCCAUAAAGCGACGUUAUGCGAAAAAGGGCGCCAAUAUCUCGGGUUGAAAGGUCAAAAACGUACAAGUCAGGAGAGUGCGUUUGUGUGUCAGAGACACAAAAUGGACAAAAACACUCGUCAUUAAAAGCCACGAUAAGAGUGAGGAACCAUACCACGAGGUCGCAGGUCCCCUUCUGUUCCACUCACUGAAUGAAUUCCAGUUCUCAAAGCAGCCUAAAAAAAAUACGAAUGAGAACUCGUGCGCCGUCACAUGAUCACCUCUUGAAAGUUCAUCUUGAUUGCAAAACUCGAGCUCGAUAGUUAAAUAUGAGGGUGGCUUUUUGUGUGCGUGGGUAUUAUGAUGUAGUAUGGGUUCCCAAACAGAAGAGCGCAGUGUCUGCUCAUCUAAAAUAGAGGCAGUGAAUUUCAUAGCAGAAAGUAACACUAGAUGGGAUAUCGUAAUUCAUUUUCAAUGACGAACGCAUCAUUGUUUUUUUUUUUAUUUCAAUGCUAAUAAUGAUAUGGGGCACGUGUUCGGUGGUUAGCACGUGUGCCUCACAGGUCUGAGGGUCAGGGUCAGGGUCUGGACCAGGACCAGGACCAGGACCCGAACCUCUUUCAUCGGGGUGUUGGAAGACAUUUGAUUUCACAGGUUGUCCAAAUAAUAACGGGUCCAGUCGCCCGCCGCCACCCACCAGUGCCCGCCACGCCUGACGUCGUACGCGCCGCCUGGGGCUGAGCCUGGCGUGCUGCAGAGAAACGCCGGCGAGCGUUCUGGCGUCAAUGGCGGUGAAUGAGUUAAAAUUGGGAAAAGUAUUCAACAACAUUCCCCGUCUGGGAUACUUCAUUCACCGCAGACUUCACCGUGGAUACAGGAUGACAAAACCAUUUUUGCCAGCAGCUGAGGAGGAGGACAAGGUCGACGUCCUGGCUCGUAACAAUAACGCAAACAUCUGAACCGCAGCUGGGGUCAACGCGCGGCCAACUCCGAUCAAGGCCUCUCGACGGCGGAAUGAACGACAGCGCGCGCCGUAAAUGCCACAAGUGUAAAUUUCAUGACCCCCGAAGCUCCUCCAAAGUUUAUUUAGAGGUUUAGCCUCAAAGGACAAUGUCAUCGCCAGAUAGCCGUUUGCGGCACGCGUGCUCUACAGCAACCCGAAACGAACAUUUGGCUCCAAUCGUGGUUAGCACAUCUGCCUCACAGUUCCAAGGUUCGGGGUUCCAUGCUAGGCUCUGGUGACCACUUCAGGAUGAAUCCCGCUUCUCUCACCAAAGUCAGCUGGCAUCUAAAGAAGAAAGUGUCCAUAGGUGUGAAUGCGAUUGUAAACACGUGCCCCAGGAUGGACCGCAGUCCUCACCAAAAGUCAGCUGGCAUUGAAGAUUGAGUCGAAAAUGUCCUGGGCUAAUCUGAGCAAAAGAAAAGUCAAUUCAUUAUCCAGUCCUUUAAUAAUCAUGUUCAUUAUGUCUAUUUUUUCAUCAAUUUACCUGUUGAAAUGUAAAUUACAGCUUACCUUCUGUCUCCGUUCCAAUCAAUUUCCCUCACGUAACAUCUUUUCAAUUAACACAUUCAAACUAUGUCAAUAGAGAAGAAGGCGAAAAUCAUAAUUGAAGCCAUUUAGCCCUCUUUCUCAAUCGCUGGUGAUGUCAUGGCGAAAAGGUUUCUAAACACUAACUCGUGUUUGUGAAGACUUUGACAACCCCGCACCACCGACCGACCACCGCCACACCUCUGACUUCUGUGUUGACCAUCCACGAACAGGAUGUGAGACGCAUCUUCAAACAACAAAAGAUUAACAAAGCGGCAGGCCCGGGGACCUUGUGUCCCAAUCCUGCCUCAAAGUCUGGGCGGACCAGCUCGCUCUAGUCUUCACUCAGAUCUUCAAUAGAUCUCUGGAACUGUGCGAAGUACCAUCCUGUUUCAAACGCGCCACCAUUCUCCCAGUCCCCAAGAAACCUGCAAUCUCGGAUCUGAAUGACUACAGGCCUGUCGCCUUGACAUCUGUGGUCAUAAAGUCCUUUGAACGCCUCGCGCUGGACCACCUCAAGAGCAUCACGGGCCCCCCGCUGGACCCCCUGCAGUUUGCCUACCGAGCAAACAGAUCUGCGGAUGAUACAGUCAUCAUGGGACUGCACUUCAUCCUAGAACACCCGAACUCCUCUCCUCCAAGUUUCUGCAGCUCAGCGUCUCGCCUGCGAUCUGCCAGUGGAUUUACAGCUGCCUGACGGGCAGGACACAACAGAUGAGGCUGGGGGAGGCCACCUCAUCCACAUGCAGCAUCAGCACCGGGGCACCCCAAGGUUGUGUCCUCUCUCCGCUGCUCUUCUCUCUCUGCACGAACAACUGAACCUCAACGCACCCGGCUGUCAAAUUCCUGAAGUUACAUCGGCCUCAUCAAAGACGACGGUAACGGGUCUGCGUAUCGACAGGAAGCGGAGCGGCCGACACAACCUAGAGCUGAACACGCUCAAGACUGUAGAGAUGAUCGUGGACUUCAGGAGGCAUCCUUCGCCACAGCUGCCCCUCACGUUGUGCAGCUGCCUUGUGUCAACCGUCGAGACCUUCAAGGUCCUGGGAAUUAUAGUCUCUCAGGACCUGAAGUGGACGACCAACAUCAACUCCGGCUCUUCCGGCUCCUUCCCUCAGUCACACUCAUUGAGAAGUCUUUGCAACGAAUCCAAGCCACGUGAGGAUAUCGAGAAGGGCGCCGUGUUGGUCGGCGAAUGAGCAGACACGAACGACGCUGGCAUGCUGCUGUUGCCAUAAUGCGUAACAAAACCCCAACCGUCCCACUGACCCUCCGCCACUAGAUGGCAGCAGCACUCUUCACAACAUCCAGCCACCAUUAGUUCACGUUGUUACGUCACAGUGAAACAGUGAACUUCACAUCCCCUUCCCGUGGGCUCACCACCUGCGGGAGGGGCCGUGCAGUGCGAACUGGGCGGGGACCUUGGCGAUCCGACCCCUGGCUACAGAAGCUGGCUCUAGGGCCCGGACGCCUCCCCGGUGAGGUGUUCCGGGCACGUACAAACGGGAGGAGACCCCGGGGACGACCCGGGACACGCCGGAGAGACUUCGUCUUUCGGCUGACCCGGGAACGCUUCGGGAUCCCCCGGAAGAGUGGGAUGAAGUGGCUGGGGAGAGGGAAGUCUGGGCGUCCCUGCUAAAGCUGCUGCCCCCGCGACCCGACCUCGGAUAAGCGCUAGAAAACGGAUGGAACUUCACAUCCGUUUGGCAGGAAGGCAAUUUUCUGUUGAAGGACUGUAGCGACCUCUAGCGGUAAUGUGGUGUAUUACUGACUUAAGAAGUCUUUGAGGAAGUUGGAGACGCUCUCCAGCGUGAUGUGGCCGCACACCACGAUGUGCCUGACGGGAAGCGGACAGAGAUUUAGUCACACUUCCGACGGGACAGACGGAGAUGAGAGGGUCACGUGAUGCGACGGACAUGAGAAGCAGUCAGCAGCGUUCAGGUGAUAGGUCGGGCCGCGAAACGACGUGGAAGGGCGAACGAGCACUGAAUGAGCUGGAGAGAGAGAACGAGUGGGCGUUGGGGGAUUACGAGGGAUCAGAGUUGAUUUCAGAGGAAAUUAGGACAUCCACACGUUUUCGAUUUUCCUUUGUCCAAGAAACACAAUUCAUAUUUAAUACGAGCUUAGAUUUUUACGUGCUGCUUUGGA